GAUGAACGCUAGCGGCAGGCCUAAUACAUGCAAGUCGAGGGGCAGCGCGGUAGCAAUACUGGCGGCGACCGGCGCACGGGUGCGUAACACGUAUGCAACCUACCUUCAACUGGAGGAUAGCCCGGGGAAACUCGGAUUAAUACUCCAUAACACAGGGAUCCCGCAUGGGAAUAUUGUUAAAGCUACGGCGGUUGAAGGUGGGCAUGCGUUCGAUUAGCUAGUUGGUGUAGGUAACGGCUCACCAAGGCUACGAUCGAUAGGGGGUCUGAGAGGAUGAUCCCCCACACUGGUACUGAGAUACGGACCAGACUCCUACGGGAGGCAGCAGUAGGGAAUAUUGGUCAAUGGGCGCAAGCCUGAACCAGCCAUGCCGCGUGCAGGAAGAAGGCCCUCUGGGUUGUAAACUGCUUUUGAUAGGGAACAAAUGCCACUUGCGAGUGGAGCUGAGUGUACCUAUAGAAUAAGCACCGGCUAACUCCGUGCCAGCAG
rnacentral:rRNA from 1 species